AGCAAAUAAGGUUCAACAAUCGGAACCUUAUUUAGUUCCGAUUGUUGAACCGGAACCAACAAUCGGAACUAGACCCUCCUUGGGUCACUAGAGAACCUACCCAAGGAGAGCCCAGUAAUGGUUGAUCAAGCCAUGCUGUGUGUCCGAAAUAAAAAAUAAUCAGUUUCAUUGUCGUUUCUCAUUGCUGAGAAAUUAAAAAUAUUUUUAUGAAAAGUAGUUACGAAUCAUGUUUGAAAUUAAUGAAAUGUUGUAUUUCAAUGUAUAACCUAACAAAUGCAUAAUUAUGUCUAAUAUUUAUAUUUAAAAUAUUAAACCAGUCAAUAAACUUUAAGAUUCAAGACCAG